rnacentral:lncRNA from 1 species
UCCUCCUAAGUUGUUGUUGAAAUCAGGAGUCCGCCUAGAGAAUAGAGAGAUUCAAUUUUAAAUUUAGCAAUCAGGAGUCCGCCUGGAGAACAGAGGCAUACUUUUCAAGUUUGACAGUAGGAGUCCGCUUGGAGAAUAGAAACAUUCAAUUUCAAAUUUAGCAAUCAGGAGUCCUCCUGGAGAACAGAGGCAUACUUUUCAAGUUUGACGUCAGGAGUCUACCUAAAGAACGGAGACAUACAGUUUAAAUUUCAAAAGUCAGGAGUCCGCCUGGAGAAUAGAGACAUUCAAUUUUAAAUUUAGCAAUCAGGAGUCCGCCUGGAGAGCAGAGACAUACUUUUCAAGUUUGACAUCAGGAGUCCGCCUGGAGAAUAGAGACAUUCAAUUUUAAAUUUAGCAAUCAGGAGUCCGCCUGGAGAACAGAGACAUACUUUUCAAGUUUGACAUCAGGAGUCCGCCUGGAGAAUAGAGACAUUUAAUUUUAAAUUUAGCAAUCAGGAGUCCGCCUGGAGAACAGAGACAUACUUUUCAAGUUUGACGUCAGAAGUCCGCCUGAAGAAUGGAGGCAUACAGUUUAAAUUUCAAAAAGCAGGAGUCCGCCUUGAGAAUAGAGACAUUCAAUUUCAAAUUUAGCAAUCAGGAGUCCGCCUGGAGAACAGAGACAUACUUUUCAGGUUUGACGUCAGGAGUCUGCCUGAAGAACGGAGACAUACAGUUUAAAUUUCAAAAGUCAGGAGUCCGCCUAGAGAAUAGAGACAUUCAAUUUUAAAUUUAG